AAACAUAAACUAAAACAGUUUUAAAAAUAAAUGAAGGUUAUUCUUAAAGCUUUGGAUUGACACUAUUUUUAGAGCUAAGAUUGAUUUUAGAAACUUGCUCUGUUUUACGAUAAAAUAUAUAAAUUCGUUCAUUUUUUGGUUUUGCGUACGAAUUUGUUAAUUUGGAAUUGGAAUUAUCAGAACAGAAAGAAGAUUCCAAAACCAUUCUUAGCUCUAAUUAAAGUACUUAUCUAGAGCUAUUAAAAUCACCUUUUCUUAUUUUUAAAAUUGUUUCAGGUUAUAGAAUUACCCAUAUACAUAAGGUUGUUGUGGUUUUACUUUGUUUUUUUUUGUUUGUCUUUUGGCUAAUUAAUGUUGCUGUUUUGAAUGCUCAGAAUUACACAGAAACCGUUUUUGCCAAAUCAUUUGCAGCUGCUUAGAAUUUCCAGAUUUUCAGAUAUUACGGGGGAUUCGUAUUUGUUUUGUAUUUUUUUCGCUUUACAAUGCGGCUAAGUCUUGUCGAGUUUACACAGUUUACAGAGUUUUUUCUUGGAGAUUUGUUGUUUGUUUGUUGGUUUUUCUUUCUUUCUUAUUUAUUGUAUGAUUUUUUGGGACACAAAACAAAAGCAAAAAACAUUGAAACAAAUUGCACUUAUCAUGGGGAGUAGAGUUGUACAUACAAUAUAUAUUCGAAUAUAUUCGAUGAGACUUGUGUAUGAUUUAUUUUCCUUCUCUUUCUAUAUAUCUCGUAUCUCUCUGUCUCUGUCUCUAUCUCCAUGUCUGUCACUAUCUCUAUCUGUCUCUGUCUCUUAAAUCGUCUCAGUCUCAGAGCGCAGCGUAAAAAAUGGUUUUCUGGUUUGGUUAGUAGUACUAUUAUUUUUGUUCUCAGUGCUUACGAGUGAGGAUCGUUACAUGAAAUUAAUUGUUAUUAUUAUUAUUAUUAUAUUUAUAAUGGUAAUCGUAUGCAGUCAUUAUUUUGUUUUUGUUUUUCUUUCUUUUGUUUUGUUUUUUGGUUUUAAAUGGAUAGCAACAAUCUUGUAUUCUCUCUCGCUCAUAUAAUAUUUCGGUUGUUUUGUUUCGUUUUUAGUUGUAUUUUAAAUAGUACUGUAUUGUUUUUUUGUUUUUGCUUUUGUUUGUUAGCUUUUGUGGUUGUGCAGUUGUAUUUUUUGUUUGUUUUUGUUUUAUGCUUAACACAAGUAUUUAUGUUUGCUUUUUGCAUUUAUCAUUUUGCUUAAGUCCUUUGUUUUUGUGUUUUUUUUUUUUUUUUUUGUUGGUUCUCAUAGAAAACGUACAAUAAAAGUUUUUUUUUUUGGUUUUUGGAGCAAAGAAUUAAAAAACAUUUCGAAAAAAGCGUUUUGCAUUUUUGUUUGUUUGUUUUUUUAGUAUUUUUUUUUUGUUCUUGGUUUCUCUCUUCUAUUGUGUUUGUUGUUUAUGUUGUUGCUGUGGUUGCUGCGGCUAGACACAAAUUGUUAACAACAUUUUUGACAUGUUGGAAAACGAGGUAGGAGAUUGUUGUUGUUCUUGUUGUUGUUGUUGAUGUUACUUGUUUUGUCAUUGAAAUAAAACGAUAAUAAAUUAUAAAUAAAAACAGCGCCCGGAUCAAGCGGCUUUUGGUGUUUUCUUAACUUUCAGCAUGAAAAUACAUAA